rnacentral:rRNA from 1 species
GACGAACGCUGGCGGCGUGCUUAACACAUGCAAGUCGAACGAAGUGUCGCACGGGUGAGUAAUACGUCGGUAACCUGCCCUGCUUUUUGGGAUAAGCCUUUGAAACGGGGACUAAUACCGACUUACGGGGGUGGGGCUAUUGGCCUAUCUGCUUGGUGGGGGGGUGACGGCCCACCAAGGCGGUGACGGGUUGCCGGCAUGAGAGGGUGACCGGCAACAUUGGGACUGAGAUACGGCCUAGAGUCGGAAGGGAGGGAGCAGUGGGGGCUAUUGCAGAAUGGGCGAAAGCCUGAUGCAGCGAGGACGAGUGGGGGAUGAAGGCUUUAGGGUUGUAAAACUGUUUCGCUAUCGAACGGGUAGGUGGAGAAGAAGCGCCGGCUAACUACGUGCCAGCAGCCGCGGUAUUUC